ACAUGAUGUGAUGUUACAUACUACUACAGUUCCAUACAUGAUGUGAUGUUACAUACUACUACAGUUACAUACAUGAUGUGAUGUUACAUACUACUACAGUUACAUACAUGAUGUGAUGUUACAUACAUGAUGUGAUGUUACAUACUACUACAGUUACAUACAUGAUGUGAUGUUACAUACUACUACAGUUACAUACAUGAUGUGAUGUUACAUACAUGAUGUGAUGUUACAUACUACGACAGUUACAUACAUGAUGUGAUGUUACAUACUACGACAGUUACAUACGUGAAUUGAUGUUACAUACUACCACAGUUACAUACAUGAUGUUACAUUCUACCACAGUUACAUACAUGAUGUUAUAUUCUACCACAAUUACAUACAUGAUGUGAUGUUACAUACUACCACAGUUACAUACAUGAUGUUACAUUCUACCACAGUUACAUACGUG
rnacentral:lncRNA from 13 species